rnacentral:rRNA from 1 species
UACGUAGGGGGCAAGCGUUGUCCGGAUUUAUUGGGCGUAAAGAGCGUGUAGGCGGUUUGGUAGGUCCGUUGUGAAAACUCGAGGCUCAACCUCGAGACGCCGAUGGAAACCAUCAGACUAGAGUCCGGAAGAGGAGAGUGGAAUUCCUGGUGUAGCGGUGAAAUGCGCAGAUAUCAGGAAGAACACCCGUAGCGAAGGCGGCACUCUGGGCCGGAACUGACGCUGAGGAGCGAAAGCGUGGGUAGCAAACAGG